UCCUCCUGACAUCCCCAACCCUACCCUUUCCUUCUCUCUACCCCUGCAGGCACCACCAGACUGUGGAGAGGAGGGUGGUGCUCUAAGUGAAGCUGAGGUUGCUGAAAAAAUGUUUUUUGUGGGAGCACAGAUGUGUGCGGUAGGGUGGAACGCACAAAGGAUCAUGGAUUGAUGAGAUGAAGGAACAUCGGGUCGGAAUGGCCUGUGGUUGGAGCUCAGUGUUCUCAUCUUAAACAUGAAAACCUGAGGUCUCAAGGUGAGAAUAGCAUCUGCAAUCCAGAAACACUGAGUGCACUUCAGCACCCGACAAGCAGCUCUCCAGCAGAGGAUAACGGAGCAAGAGAGAAUGAUCGCACUAACGAAGGCAAUAAUUACACUCUCCAGGACUUGUUGAGCACUUUGCGGUUUGAUGAGCACUUUCAUAUACAGCAUUGCUUCUGAUCGUCACAGCAACCGAGUGUGCAAGCUGGUCUGGCAAUUUUCAUCUGCAUCCUAUAAGGAACAUUGAAGAGCAGAGAAGUUAGAACCAGAGCAAAACCUCACCCAGAAUGUCACUGAACAAAUGAGUUAUCCAACUUCAAAUGCUCUGGCCUGUCUGGACCACUAUCACAUCCCCCAGAGAGUGUGGUAGAAAGGAAGCAUCUGUUUUAUCCUUUCCCCCUACUCCAAUCUCUUCUUUAUUCCUUCUAUCUCCCCAGCUAAGUUUCAACACAUAACAACAAGCAAGGAAGGAAAAACAGAACGGUUAUUUGUAACUCCACAGUUCAGUCACUAAUUUGGUUAUUGCUUAAUUUAACUUGUUUUCUAUUAAAUGUUCUUCAAAACCACA